UAUUGGUUGAAUAAAGAGGCCUAAAUCCAGC
rnacentral:piRNA from 1 species